CUGGAGUGCUUCUUGUAAAUCAAAUGAAUUAAGGAGGAUAAGUAACCUGCUCUGGUCUGUCUGUGAAACAAGAUCCAUUUAAAAUAAAGGCCUUGGAGGGAUACGGUAGAAAUCCACCGUCCGCAGGCGUGGAUGUCCCCGGAUGAUUCUAAUUGCAAUGUUGCCUUGUGACUGUGCCGAAUUAAGAAACAGAGCUGAGCUGAAAUUCCUGGACCGAAGGAUAUCACAGCUACUAUCAUCUCUUCAAAAAUGUCAAAGGAACCAGGGCUGAGCGUUUCUCCUGCUCCCACCUGUGCUUUGGGAUGCAAAAGAAUAACACUAACACACAGAGAGCACGACUUCCUCUUGGAUGCAUCUGGACCAGUUUAUUAGGCCAUUCACUGAGCCUGUGAUUGGUCUGCAAGCAGCUGAUGAUGAGCAGUGCCAAGAUAUGGUACUGGGCUGCUGAUCAAUUUUCUGUCUUUCAGAAGACUAGAUUAGUGAAACAUCACUCUCAUAAGCCACAGCUUCACCAUGAGGACAUUAGGCAGCCAAGAUUGUACAAAGUAUCCUCACCAGCAGUCUUCCACUCUCUGACAAAUCUUUUCUUCUUGAAGCACAUCUAGAACUUGGUCUAGACAGCUUGGCUAAAUUAGAAGUCUCGGAAGUAGGAUCUCACAAGGAGGUGUACUGGACAAACAUAACU
rnacentral:lncRNA from 1 species